UAAGAAUCUGUUUGAAGCUUUGCUGUCAAUUCAACGAAGCUGCUGCAGUGUGCCCGAUGCUGUUGAAAGAAACGGGUGUGUGUUUAUGUGUGAAUGAGACAAAAGUCUCACCAUUUGUGGGAUGGCAGGGACCAGCCAAUCAGUGCUUUUGUUUGGGUUUGCAGAAAAAACGUGUUAAGUAGACUGCUAGGUUUUGUUCACGGAGUAAGCGGUGAAAGUGACUG